rnacentral:tRNA from 1 species
GCCUCUAUGGCACAGGGGUAAUGCGUGUCACUCGUACAGUUCCUACUUGCGAUGUUAUGACAAGAUCCGCGGUUCGAUUCCGCGUGGAGGCA